AGUGAACGCUGGCGGUAGGCCUAACACAUGCAAGUCGAACGGCAGCACAGUAAGAGCUUGCUCUUACGGGUGGCGAGUGGCGGACGGGUGAGGAAUACAUCGGAAUCUACUUUUUCGUGGGGGAUAAAGUAGGGAAACUUACGCUAAUACCGCAUACGACCUACGGGUGAAAGCAGGGGAUCUUCGGCCCUUGCGCGAUUCAAUGAGCCGAUGUCGGAUUAGCUAGUUGGAGGGGUAAAGGCCCACCAAGGCGACGAUCCGUAGCUGGUCUGAGAGGAUGAUCAGCCACACUGGAACUGAGACACGGUCCAGACUCCUACGGGAGGCAGCAGUGGGGAAUAUUGGACAAUGGGCGCAAGCCUGAUCCAGCCAUGCCGCGUGUGUGAAGAAGGUCUUCGGGUUGUAAAGCCCUUUUGUUGGGAAAGAAAAGCAGCAGGUUAAUACCCCGCUGUUCUGACGUUACCCAAAGAAUAAGCACCGGCUAACUUCGUG
rnacentral:rRNA from 1 species